UGGGGAAUAUUGGACAAUGGGCGAAAGCCUGAUCCAGCCAUGCCGCGUGUGUGAAGAAGGUCUUCGGAUUGUAAAGCACUUUAAGUUGUGAGGAAGGGCAGUAAGCGAAUACCUUGCUGUUUUGACGUUACCGACAGAAUAAGCACCGGCUAACUCUGUGCCAGCAGCCGCGGUAAUACAUAGGGUGCAAGCGUUAAUCGGAAUUACUGGGCGUAAAGCGCGCGUAGGUGGUUCGUUAAGUUGAAUGUGAAAGCCCCGGGCUCAACCUGGGAACUGAAUCAAAAAAUGGCGAGCUAGAGUAGGGCAGAGGGUGGUGGAAUUUCCUGUGUAGCGGUGAAAUGCGUAGAUAUAGGAAGGAACACCAGUGGGGGAGGCGAGAACCUGGGAUCAUACUGACACUGAGGUGCGAAAGCGUGGGGAGCAAACAGG
rnacentral:rRNA from 1 species